rnacentral:lncRNA from 1 species
UUCAAAACCCUUGAUAACUGCAGUACAUCGGUAAUGGGGUUCCUGAUAGGGAAAGGACGAUGAGAAAGAGAAUGUGACCUAUAGCAGUAAAAGCUGUGUACAUUAAAGAGGAACACUCACUGGAUCCGCUCCAGAAGUGAAAAGAGCCAGAAGUUCAUGUACAGUACGAUAUGAGUCACGCAAAUGGCACUGUAAUUGUUCUGGGGUGGCAAACUUGGGAGGAACGUAGGUUACAGUGCGAGGCGCAGCCGUGAUACUGCAAGGAUUUGUGGUAGUUAGCACAUGAAGUUGUGGGGGAAAAGGCAGAGGAAAAAGAAGCAUACAAUGCACGAAGCUGGUCUGAUCGAGAAUCUGAUUGAUGGAGGCAUAUCCUGCUUGCUGAGCAACUAUUCGC